UACGAGGGGGGCAAGCGUUGUUCGGAAUUAUUGGGCGUAAAGGGUGCGUAGGCGGUCUGAUAAGUCAUCUGUGAAAUCUAUGGGCUCAACCCAUAGUCUGCAGGCGAAACUGUCGGGCUUGAGUAUGGGAGAGGUGAGUGGAAUUUCCGGUGUAGCGGUGAAAUGCGUAGAUAUCGGGAGGAACACCUGUGGCGAAAGCGGCUCACUGGACCACAACUGACGCUGAUGCACGAAAGCUAGGGGAGCAAACAGG
rnacentral:rRNA from 1 species